rnacentral:lncRNA from 1 species
GGUGAGACUGUUUAAGGACCACUCCUCAGCAUGCUCACAGACUGGGGCUGAUCAGCUUUCUAAGAAAGGGAAUGUCUCAUACAAGAGCAGCAGCAUUACUUCUGUCCUCCAGAUGAAUGAUUCUACUUCACACAGAGAAGCAAAGUGAUGCACAGGCAGCUCCCUGCCAGCCUCAGUGACCUUCUGCUGAUGAACUCCAGGUGAUGCUCAUAGAUAGAGAUGGGUGCCCAUCUCUUAAGCUGAUGUUAGGUGUAGUUGUUGCAGU